GACGGAGGGUGCAAGCGUUAUUCGGAUUUAUUGGGCGUAAAGAGCAUGUAGGCGGUCAGCCAAGUCUGAUGUGAAAGCCCGGGGCUUAACCUCGGAAGGGCGUUGGAAACUGGUUGACUUGAGUUAGGGAGAGGAAAGCGGAAUUCCGGGUGUAGAGGUGAAAUUCGUAGAUAUCCGGAGGAACACCGGUGGCGAAGGCGGCUUUCUGGACCGAAACUGACGCUGAGAUGCGAAAGCGUGGGGAGCAAACAGG
rnacentral:rRNA from 1 species